rnacentral:rRNA from 1 species
GUAGGGAAUAUUGCACAAUGGGGGAAACCCUGAUGCAGCGACGCCGCGUGAGUGAUGAAGGCCUUCGGGUCGUAAAGCUCUGUCGUAUGGGACUAACACAAUGAAGGUACCAUGCAAGAAAGGAUCGGCUAACUUCGUGCCAGCAGCCGCGGUAAGACGAGGGAUCCUAGCGUUGUUCGGAAUCAUUGGGCGUAAAGCGGGUGUAGGCGGAUUUAUAAGUCAGGUGUGAAAUCCCAGGGCUCAACCCUGGAAGUGAACUUGAUACUGUAAAUCUUGAGUGUGGUAGAGGUUACUGGAAUUGUUGGUGUAGUGGUGAAAUACGUAGAUAUCAACAGGAAUACCGGAGGCGAAGGCGAGUAACUGGGCCAACACUGACGCUGAGACCCGAAAGCGUGGGGAUCAAACAGGAUUAGAUACCCGGGUAGUCC